UACGUAGGGUGCAAGCAUUAAUCGGAUUUAUUGGGCGUAAAGGGCGCGUAAGCGGGAAUGUAAGUCGGAUGUGAAAUCCCGAGGCUCAACCUCGGACCCGCAUCUGAUACUACUUUUCUUGAGGAUGAGCGGAGAAAAUGGAAUUCCACGUGUAGCGGUGAAAUGCGUAGAUAUGUGGAGGAACACCGGUGGCGAAGGCGAUUUUCUAGCUUAGACCUGACGCUGAGGCGCGAAAGCAUGGGGAGCAAACAGG
rnacentral:rRNA from 1 species